CGGGUCUUGACAUCCAGUGAAAGGUCCAGAGAUUGAUCCCUCUCUUCCGAGACACCAAGACCGGUGGUGCAUGGUUGUCCUCCGCUCCUGUCCUGAGAUGUUGGGUUAAGUCCCGCAACCAGCGCCACCCUUAUCAUUAGUUGCCUACCCCAGAGCCCUCCUAAUGAGACUGCCGUUGACAAAACGGAGGAAGGUGGGGAUGACGUCAAAUCAUCAUGCCCUUUAUGACCCGGGCUACACACGUACUACAAUGGUGUUAAACAAAGAGAAGCGAAACCGCGAGGCGGAGCAAAUCUCGAAAAAACAUCUCAGUUCAGAUUGCAGGCUGCAACUCGCCUGCAUGAAGUCGGAAUUGCUAGUAAUCGUAGGUCAGCAUACUACGGUGAAUACGUUCCC
rnacentral:rRNA from 1 species